GCGGAGGAAAAGAAACCAACAGGGAUUGCCCUAGUAACGGCGAGUGAAGCGGCAACAGCUCAAAUUUGAAAUCUGGCUUCGGCCCGAGUUGUAAUUUGUAGAGGAUGCUUUGGGCGCGGCUCUAACUGAGUUCCCUGGAACGGGACGCCACAGAGGGUGAGAGCCCCGUAUAGUUAGAUGCCUAGCCUAUGUAAAGCUCCUUCGACGAGUCGAGUAGUUUGGGAAUGCUGCUCUAAAUGGGAGGUAAAUUUCUUCUAAAGCUAAAUAUUGGCCAGAGACCGAUAGCGCACAAGUAGAGUGAUCGAAAGAUGAAAAGCACUUUGAAAAGAGGGUUAAAUAGCACGUGAAAUUGUUGAAAGGGAAGCGCUUGUGACCAGACUUGCGCCGGGCAGAUCAUCCGGUGUUCUCACCGGUGCACUCUGCCCGGCUCAGGCCAGCAUCGGUUCUCGUGGGGGGAUAAAGGUCCCGGGAACGUAGCUCCUUCGGGAGUGUUAUAGCCCGGGGCGUAAUGCCCUCGUGGGGACCGAGGUUCGCGCAUCUGCAAGGAUGCUGGCGUAAUGGUCAUCACCGACC
rnacentral:rRNA from 1 species